UGCGGAGAGACAAGCUUCAUUGUGAAACUGUUUGGGCAAAUUUUUUAUUUACGAGGCAAAGAGGUUGGCAAUUUGGUGUGCAAGACCAGGCAUUCCCUUCCUUUCCAUCCCCUUUCUUUUUUUUUUUUUUUUUUCUCUGUUUCGGUUUACAGGAUUUUGGGGAUGGAGAGAGGUUGUGUAUCCUUUUAUGUCUUUUUAAGGGUUUUUGCCACUAGGUCAGAGAGUGGAAGGUGUCCUUUUAUUCCUUACAACCAAGCUUCAAAUCUCCGCCUAUCACCUCCUCUCAAACCCGAGCGUCCUUUUUUUUUCUUAAACAAAGGAGGCCAAGGCUUAGGGGAACUUUAUUUAUGAGAUUUGCUUCAACACCAGAAACCCCCCAAAAGGCUUGAACUUUCCCGUCAGGCAAAAUGGGUAUUUCUCGUGACUCAUGAUCAUUAGGCGUGCUACUGGUAGCAAAAGGAAGGCCUGAGGAAGAAGAGAAAUAUGAGCUUAGAAGGCAACCUGCAAACACAAAGCUGUGAAGCAACAAGACGGUCAGGAGGAUUAGAGUUUGUGGUGGAAAUGUGAAGUGGUGUCCACUGAGGCUCGACACUGGAAACUACUCAUGGGGGUGUGAGUCUGUGACUCGUUAGACGAUAAUUUUGGGUGUCACGUGGUUCGUACUCAUACUUUGGUGAAGAGUGAUAUUGUUCAAGUUGAUGCUGCUCCAUUCAAUCAGUAUAUUAUUCUUACACCUUCAUUCAUUUCUUUUACUUUGAAUAAAAUUUUUUUAAUGUGAAAUAUAUAAUUUAUUGAAAUAUAACA